UAAAACGUAGGAGACAAACGUUAUCCGGAGUUACUGGGCGUAAAGGGCGUGCAGGUGGCUGCUUAAGUUCGGCGUGAAAGCCUCCGGCUAAACCGGGGGAGGUCGUCGGAAACUGGACAGCUAGAGGGUGAUAGAGGCGGGUGGAAUUCCGGGUGUAGUGGUGAAAUGCGUAGAGAUCCGGAGGAACACCAGUGGCGAAGGCGACCCGCUGGGUCACACCUGACACUGAGACGCGACAGCAUGGGGAGCGAACGGGAUUAGAAACCCCGGUAGUCCAUGCCGUAAACGAUGCCAGCUCGAUGUCGGUUCCGGGAAACCGGAAUGGGUAUCCAAGCAAACGCGGUAAGCUGGCCGCCUGGGGAGUACGGUCGCAAGGCUA
rnacentral:rRNA from 1 species